GCCUCCUGAGGAGCUGGGAUUACAGGCAUGCGCCACCACACCCGGCUAAUUUUGUAUUUUUAGUAGAGAUGGGUUUCUCCAUGUUAGUGAGACUGGUCUUGAACUCCUGACCUCAGGUGAUCUGCCCACCUCAGCCUCCCAAAGUGCUAGGAUUACAGGCGUGAGCCACCACGCCCGGCCAGGUGUUUUAUUUCUAUAUUAGCAAAUAGAUAUCUUUCAGAGCUACAACCUCUCAUAAUGAUAAGGGAGAGGACUUUAGCUGAAUGGUGGGCCACUGGGGGGUCUUUGGACCCCUGAACAACUUGGGGAAGAGGAUGACCUAUUCCCAUCUGUCCCUUAGUACUCAAUUUAGAAUGCCAGGAAGGAAGUAGAGGGGAGCCCUCUUGUGGCAGUUGCUGAAGCCUUCCAGUUCUUUUGAGGGGAUAGGGGAUGAAGAGGAGACUGAACCUGGGAGGUAGAUACUUAGCACCCAGCUCUUAGGACAAACAGCAAUCCCAUCUUCCAGAACAUGCAUAGCAUCAGUCAUGGACUGGCGGAAGACUUGGACCCAGGGUCCACUUCAGGAUAAUCUGGGCAAGGGAGCUUCCCAAAUGAGCCUGUAGAAAGCCAGUGGAAGGGCUUAGGUUGGCUAAGGUGGGAUGGAGGGCAAAACCCUCCCCUUCAUUGCAGAGUAUAGGGGCAGUGGCAGAGAAUGAAUGUAUGUGUGGGUUUCUCAGCCUUGAGGUAUAAGGUCUAAAGGCUCUGGGGAUUCACUGCAUACACCACUUCCAGUUCAAGCGCCUAGGUUGGUUACAGCAGGAAGUUGACAAGUAUGUAUUUAGUACAUUCGAUGUUUUUAGGCAUCUGCUAAAAGUAGGUCAAACCACUGAACUCAGGGAGGGGGCUGGGGAUCCAUUUCUAGGAUGCUGUGGAAUCCUUUUGGGACAUCUGUAGUAUACCACGUUGGGUAGUGAGAGUUGGGGGACACCCCUUCCAUUGCUGCUGCUUAGUGUAGGGAGUCAUGUCUUUGGGCAGCAGUAAUAUUAUUAAGAAAAGCUUUUUUUUUUUUUGAGACACAGUCUCUGUCACCCAGGCCGGAAUGCAGUGGCGUGAUCUCGGCUCACUGUAACCUCUGCCUCCCAGGUUCAAGCGAUUCUUGUGCCUCAGCCUUUUCCGAGUUGCUGGGAUUAUGAGUGCACACCACAACUCCCUGCUAAUUUUUUUUUUUUUUUUUGAGACGGAGUCUCACUCUUGCCCAAGCUGGAGUGCAAUGGCGUGAUCUCGGCUCACUGCAACCUCUGCCUCUCAGGUUCAAGCAAUUCUCCUGCCUCAGCCUCCGAGUAGCUGGGACUACAGGUAUGUGCCACCAUGCCCAGCUGAUUUUUCUAUUUUUAGUAGAGAUGGGGUUUCACCAUGUUGGCCAGGCUGGUCUUGAACUUGUGACCUCAAGUGAUUCGCCCACCUUGGCCUCCCAAAGCACUGGGAUUACAGGCAUGAGCCACCGUGCCUGGCAGAAAAGCUUCUUUUCCAGUUCUGAAGAGUGUGAAGGUAGGAGAGCCAGAAUUCAGUUCUCUCACUUUCCAACCCAGUACCUGGAGAGAGAGUGUCUUGCUGGUCACUGGGGAGUGAUAGGAUCCGGAUGCCCGCCUUCCUCUUCAAGUUUUUCUUUCUGAUUGGGUUUCCUGACCCUGAUUGCUGGUAUGGGUAAGAAUGACUCUGAAUUCCUGAGAAAAGGGAAGAGGGUUAGGACAGAGGAAAUGGAAUCAUUUAGUCAGGUAAAGGGAGCAAAGCCACCGAAGGCAGUGGUUGGAGGUGUAGAUGUGAGGAAGUUGGGUUGAGACCAUUCACCAUCAAGGCUUGAAGAUGAGUGUCUGUUUGUGUGUGUCAUGUUGGCUGUGAGUUGCAGAAGAGAGUAUCUGGCCUCUAGUUGAGGAGCACUUCCGGCUUCUGAGCUGAACAUGGUGUAGAAGAGAGGAUACUCAAUCCAAAACCCUGGCUAUCUAUGCAGAGGGCUGACCAGUUCUACCCAUGUACCCUUCCUUCCCUCACCCUUCCUCACAAACCAGGCAUAUUGAGAGCUGUCUGGCAGUCAAUCCAGGCGAGGCAGCAGGUUUGAGAAUGGGCUUGUCCGCCUGGCACCUGCUUCCCCCCACUUCCACCUUCACCCCUCCAUCCCAUAUAUCGUUCAGGGUCCUCCCAGCACAGAAUUGAAUAGAAGGACUUUUAAGGCUUGGAGGGCUUAGCUUGGGGCUCUAACCCACAGGAAUUCUUUCUGAGUUCUGAAUAUAGUAAUAAAGGGCACUCUUGGCCUUAGGUUAUAGAUAGGAGAUGGGGAAUCUGUUCUUGUCUUUGCCAAAUCUUGCAUUUAUGGGAUGAUACCUCUUUGAUUAGAACAGCCAUAGGGGAAGAGUGGAGGAAGUAAGUAAGUGCUUCAUUCUUGGAUGAAUAUAUGCAUAAACAUACCUGAAAGAAAACAUCUAGUCAGCUGGGGGUAUGUAUACCCUUGAAAAUACAACACCAGGCCAGGCAUGGUGGCUCAAUUCUAUAACCUCAACACUUUGGGAGGCUUAGGUGGGAGGAUAGCUUGAGCCCAGGAGUUUG
rnacentral:lncRNA from 1 species